AGGAGACGCUGGUCUGGUAGUGUUAGAGCUGUCUGCGCAACACACCGGGGUCAUCUCUAUCCUCUGCGGAGGACAACGUAUAGUUAUUCGCUUCUCCUUCGCAUUCAUGCCCCGGAACCUCUGCCUCAGAACCUCCAAUACCGAAGGAAUUAGGUUAUCGAUUCAUUUCUUACUCCAUUAAGCAGUUGAUGUGUUAACGGUCCGGAGAAUUUUCUUCUUCCAGUUUGAAGGCUUGUUCCCUGAUCCAGAGCCUCUGCUCCGCACAAUUGGAUUUGUGGAUCGAGGAGAGGACUACGGUUGCACAUCCAAAUUACUCCACAAGUCUUUAUUUUUUAUCCGUUGUGUUGCUUUCUCGUUUUCAUGGUGUCUUUUAGAUGAUUUGAUGCUCCCUGACUCUCUGUGAUCGGACUUGGUGAUCGGAAGAUUUGGGUUUUCGGGUUUAACGACCAUGGAUUCAAGCAGAAGAGGUGUGGAAUCUUACUGGAGAUCUCGUAUGAUCGAUGCUGCAACGUCCGACGAAGAAAAAGUCACUCCUGUCUACAAAUUAGAGGAAAUUUGUGAGCUUCUCCGAUCUUCUCAUUUCAGUAUCGUGAAAGAAGUUUCUGAAUUUAUCUUGAAAAGGCUCGAUCACAAGAGUCCUAUUGUCAAACAGAAGGCUCUGAGGUUGAUCAAAUAUGCGGUGGGAAAAUCUGGUGUGGAGUUCAGGAGGGAAAUGCAACGCCAUUCAGUGGCAGUUCGGCAGUUGUUUCAUUACAAGGGCCAGUCGGAUCCAUUGAAAGGGGAUGCACUUAAUAAGGCUGUCCGUGAUACAGCUCAUGAAGCGAUAUCAGCAAUUUUCGCUGAAGAGGAGAGCAAACCAGCACAAGCAGAAGAUCUUAAUAAACGAAUCCAAGGAUUUGGGAAUACAAACUUUGAGAUGCCGUCAGAAGAUAAGAAAUCGUUUCUUAGCGAGGUUGUUGGCAUUGGAAGUGCUUCUAUCAAACAAGGACUGAGUAGCAUCACUGCAGCGCAUUCUUUUAAAAAGAGUGACAAUGGGAGUUACCAGAGCCCAAAUCUGCGAAGGUCACUGACAACAGAAACUGACAAUCCAGAAAGAUAUGAGAGAUUUGAACAUCAAAAUGAAACUCAGGCUUCUUCUGGAAUCUCCAAAAACCUUGGUGGUGGACCAUGGGGCCAGGAUUCAAGAGGAAACAUGAAGGAAACGACAAAUGGGAGCUCCAGCUCAAGUUAUUCAGGGAGCAAGACUCGCGAGGAGAGGCUGCUAGAGACUGUUGUUACAUCUGGUGGUGUGCGCCUGCAACCAAGUCGUGACACCAUCCAGGCUUUCCUUGUGGAGGCCUCAAAGUUGGAUGCAAUCACUUUGAGUCAUGCUCUUGAAUCAAAGCUUCAAUCUCCUAUGUGGCAGGUCCGUAUGAAGGCUGUCUGUGUCCUUGAGUCAAUUUUGAGGAAGAAAGGUGAUACUCAUUUUUCAACUGUAGCUAUUUAUUUUAGUGAAAACAAAGAUUCUGUGGUGGGAUGUUCUGAAUCUCCCCAAGCUUCGCUGAGGGAGAAGGCAAACAAGGUCUUAAGCCUUCUGGAUGGAGAGCAGAAUGUCGGAGUUAAUCAUCUUUCAGAAAAGACCUCAAGCCUGAAAGACAAAGCUGCUACUGUUGUUCAGAUGCCCGACUUAAUAGACACUAGUGACGCAGAUGAUUCUUACAGGAAGGACGAUUAUACAGAAAUGCAAAGUGAUCAAAGUGUUGCAGAUCUUAUGACACCAACCACCUCUUUAACUGAUGAUCUGUUUGGAGAUAGUCUGAUGGACGUAACCUCCAACCAACGAAAAAAUGAUGACAACGACCUAUUUGCAGGUGUCUUGUUUCACACACCUGAGGAUGGAGAAAAUGUCACCGACUUAUUUUCAGGGUUGACGGUUGAUGAAAACCAGGUUACUAAUGAUAUCCAUUUGACAGUAAAUAAAAGUGGAUCAGAACUAUUGGAUAUUUUUGGUCCCAACACUGAAGUUCUGGUGGAACCAAUAAGCCAUAAAAAGGGUGUCAAUGAUAUAAUGUCUGAUUUGUCUACUAGUAAUGGAAAGAUCCCAGAUAACGGACAGCAACAUAGUUUUUCUGAGGCAUUUUCUCAUGCUACCCGUUUAAGUCCACACAUCCAAUCAAGCCAUCCAGUGCCAAAUGAUGCUUUAAAUGGUUUAAUUGGGUCUCAAAUGGUUGGGAUGAACCCAAAUGCUGUGUUUUCACUGGGUCCUAUGCAGUGUGGUUUGUCUCCAAAUGUCAUGUUCAACCCAGCUUUUGCUUCACAACCAAUGAAUUAUGGUGUGAUGGGAAAUUAUAUUGCACAACAGCAGCUUUUAGCAACAAUGACUAACUUCCAACAGCUUGAAAAUUUGAGUGCGCAAGGAAAUGUUACUCUAGGGCGUGCUACAGGCAACAGUGGGGAUGGAGGGUAUUCUUCACCCCUCCCAGAUAUUUUCCAUCCGAAUGUUCCAACUCAAGUUCAGAGUACAUUGGUGAACAACUCAAAGAAAGAAGAUUCUAAAGCCUUCGAUUUCAUCUCGGAUCAUUUGUCAGAAGCUCGUGGUGCAAAGAGGGUAAUUUAAAGCUCUAUGCAACCAAUGCUUGACAGUGAACAGCCUUAUAUACCACAUGGUCAGCAGAUUGGAGAAUACACGAUGGGAUCAUGGCAGUAACCCUCAUCUGCUGGCUCACUGCCACAACUCCCAGUCUCGGGACUCAAGUCAGCUAACAUGUAUGAACCUUUGCUUAAUCCCUUUUCUAGUCAAAUUUUUUUUAUAAUUGCCACAGCCUAUAAGUAAACUGCAUCGAGGAAGAUGAGUCAAAAGUUACAUGCCACAACACCUAAUGGCCGCUUUAUAGAGCGAUGAUGGGAGACUGGCAUGCUGUUUUAACAGAGGAUAGUAUUUUUUGCAAGAGACUUGCAUGUCCACGGAACCUUUUUAACUGGCAGCCGCAUUCUUGUGAAUCCCUUUGAUACCGAUAUUAACAUUUGAUCAACGCAGAAGAUAUAAAUAAAAACACAUUGGCACCAGUAAAAAUUCUAGGACACUUGGAAACUGGAUCUCUUGUUAUUUCGGUAUUGGAGUCCAACAGAGCUAAAAAAAAACCUUCAUUUGCAUCUUAGAUACCGUGGAAGGGGGUUAUAAGAGGUUGCUCUUCUUGCUUAUUAAUUGUAUAAAUAGAGUUGAGAAUUGAGAU